rnacentral:rRNA from 1 species
UACAGAGGUCUCAACCGUUGUUCGGAUUCAUUGGGCGUAAAGGGUGCGUAGGCGGUCGCGCAAGUCGGAUGUGAAAUCUUGGGGCUCAACCCCGAAACUGCAUUCGAUACUGCGUGGCUCGAGUACUGGAGAGGAGACUGGAAUUUACGGUGUAGCAGUGAAAUGCGUAGAUAUCGUAAGGAAGACCAGUGGCGAAGGCGAGUCUCUGGACAGUUACUGACGCUGAGGCACGAAGGCCAGGGGAGCAAACAGG